CGGACGGGACCGCAGAGUCUGCCCCCGGUAUUCAGCUCGUCCUCUUCGUCGGCCGCGUCCGUCGCCAAACGACACCCUCUGAGCGGGUGCCAUGGCGGGCGUGAGCGCGGCGGGGGACGCGUGCACUUUCCGGGGUGCGGUGCGUCACGACCGGUUCGGCGGAGGUCAGAAGGCCGGCGGGAUGGUGGCCAGUCGUUCGCGUCUGGUGGUAUAGCCCGCCUGCGUCGCAGGCCCUCUGCCGGACCGAGGAGGAUCCGCGUCUGCCUUAGGGCGCGGGGCCCGGGGCCUCCCGUGCUGCCUCCGUGCCGGGACUGCUCUCGCAGUGCCGUGCGCGGUUCGGCGGUCGGGACGGACUCCGCUCCCCCCGUAACGGCGUCUAGGGUCGGUGGCGAUAUUGUCGGCAACCCGUCCGACCCGUCU
rnacentral:rRNA from 1 species